rfam:Schistosoma margrebowiei strain Zambia genome assembly, scaffold: SMRZ_contig0000635
AUCCAGUUGACGAGUCCCAAAUACGACGAAUCGCGCAUCCUGGAU